AUUGAACGCUGGCGGCAGGCCUAACACAUGCAAGUCGAGCGGAUGACGGGAGCUUGCUCCUUGAUUCAGCGGCGGACGGGUGAGUAAUGCCUAGGAAUCUGCCUGGUAGUGGGGGACAACGUUUCGAAAGGAACGCUAAUACCGCAUACGUCCUACGGGAGAAAGCAGGGGACCUUCGGGCCUUGCGCUAUCAGAUGAGCCUAGGUCGGAUUAGCUAGUUGGUGAGGUAAUGGCUCACCAAGGCGACGAUCCGUAACUGGUCUGAGAGGAUGAUCAGUCACACUGGAACUGAGACACGGUCCAGACUCCUACGGGAGGCAGCAGUGGGGAAUAUUGGACAAUGGGCGAAAGCCUGAUCCAGCCAUGCCGCGUGUGUGAAGAAGGUCUUCGGAUUGUAAGGCACUUUAAGUUGGGAGGAAGGGCAGUAAGUUAAUACCUUGCUGUUUUGACGUUACCGACAGAAUAAGCACCGGCUAACUCUGUGCCAGCAGCCGCCGUAA
rnacentral:rRNA from 1 species